AACCAAUCAAAGCCUUGGAUCAGAGGAUAAUUACAUUUUAAAUCACAUAAAUCAGUAGCAGGGGAAAGUGAUGCAUCGACAUUACUAUUACUAUUACUAGUACUAACCGAUGUGUCUGCUGCACUUCCAUCAUCAUCACAAGCUGAAAUGCAAACUGCUAGCCCACCUCUUGUGCCUUUGUAAGCAGCUCUGGGGUUUCUAUGAUCUUCCCAUCCAUAAUAACCUUUUCUGUUUUACUCCAAAGAAACAAAAUUAUAUCUAGGUAUUUUGAGCAAACGUUUUCUGUCAUGUUUUUACUUUUAAUUGCAAAAUUGUUGCCUUGUUUUCAAUAUAUUUCAAACAUUUGUACAUGAAAUACUUUAUAAUUAAUGACUCAUGACAGCAUGUAUGCAUAUAUAAAUACAGUUUUGAAUCUAAACUAACCUGUUCACUCUGCACAUAAAUGGUAAAUCAAGAACUGUUCCACUGAAGCAUGUAUCAAUGACAGCAUGAAGUUUGGAACCAUGAGGUAGAGGCCUAACAAUUGUAGCGUUGAUUUCAUCAUCGAGAAUUUUCCCCUCACUCUCAUAAUCAACAGGGCAUAUAGCUUCAUCAUACCCAUCAACCUCAUCCAUGCUAUAAUCUACUUCCCUCGAUCCAUGUCCUGAGAAGUGAAGCACCAAUGAGUCUCCUGGUUGGCAGCCCUCAACCAACCACCUCAUUGCCAUUCUCAUGUUAUAUUUUGUCGGGAUUCUCAUCGGAUUUCUCUCCCCUGGUUCAUCUGCAGGUUCGUUUUUCAAUGUUAUUGUAUAGAAUUAUUGAUAGAACAGAAUGGAAGGAAUGAGAUUGAGACCAUUUUUUGGCUGUUCAUUUUAGACCUUAUCUUAUAGUCUGUCUAGUUAAAGCAUAAUCACCAUCUCAUAGAACAUUAGCAUCUAAACUAUUACAAGAUUAACUUGCAGGUGUAUAUGAAAUAUGAAUCGCGUAAUCAUCAUUUGCUAUACUAAAAUGACAACCAAGUCUCCCGAUUCCCAACAGGUGCAGUAUGUAGGCAGUUUUAUCCCCGCAAGCAAGCCAAGAUGGUAUGAAAAGAUUAACUUGCAGGUGUAUAUUAUCUAAUAAAAAUAAAAGUUAAACAAGAAAUUAGUUAGUACCUGUGAGCAUGCGAAUUGAAUCAGUAGGAAAACCUAACUUUUGAGUGAGAAAGUAUUUCAUGCUGUGAACAUCGUUGAGAGAACCUUUAAGGCUGUUAGCAUGACUACCAUAACUAAUACCAAAUAAAACAGCCCUCUUGUUACCAUAUGGAGAAGGAGGUGUCAUUGAAUAUUGUGGGGCCAUCGGUGUCUGUGGCCAAGACUGACGUCUCCCAUAGGCAGGCGGAGGAGGUGCGUUGUUGUUAUUCAGAAAAGGGUAAUUGGGUUGUUGGGAGAAACCUUGAGAGUUGCAACCAGAACAUAUCAUGGUUAUGGAAGUGGAAUAGCCAUAAUUUUCUAGUUCUAUUGGCACUAGUAUGGCCCUUCCACACUUGCUGCAUCUUGCUCUUCUAGUUGCCAUCUUUUGGAGUUUUGGAGAAAGUUUUGUUUAGUAAAUUAUGAGUGAAUAAAAAGAAGUAAAUAAACUGAGAAAUGUGUUGAUGAUGAGAUUGAGGUAGAGGUGUCUCCAUUAAAUCAAGUGUGUUGGAACCUUUUUUGGAUAUGAUAAUAUGGACAUAUAGAAUCACAUUCUAUUUGCCUUUCCUAGUGGAAUGGGAAUAUAUCAAAACUUAACCAAUUUUUCAAAAUAUGCUUUCUAUCACAUAUCAUUCACUAAUUUAUUGACCAAUUUUUCAAAACACGCUUUCUAUCAUAUUAUUCGCUAAUUGGUUGACCAAUUUUUCAAAAUAUGUGUUCUAUCGCAUAUUAUUUACUAAUUGAUUUCUGAGAUGAAGAUGACAUCAUGAUGACAUUGGAGAAUACAUUUUUUGUACUAAGGAUUGAAUUAGAGCUUAUUAGUAACAAUUGGUUUUCAAUGAUUAUGAACUGUAACAGAAAAGAAAUAAAGUAGGGAGAUUAUGAGACUAAUAUUAAUUAAGUUCAUAUUUGUAGAGCGCUUUUUCUGCCUAUUAUGGAUUUUUGUAUCUCGUUCUGGAUCAAUCUUAGGCAUAUAUUUGGCCAAUAUCAAACACCAAUAGGCCGGCCCAUUAUCGGUCUCAAUGACCAACUGAAAAUGGUUAGACCGUUAGAGGUCGUUACUGUCACAUCGGAGACAAACAAACCGUUAAUCAGUUAUCAGACUCACAAUCCUCUACAUAAAGGAUGGCUCAUCUCUUCUAAGGGUGACUUUUCAUAGUGAUACAUUUUCACUCAUCUCCUUUUCUGACUGACAUAAGUAUGAAAGUGCUUUUAGGUACAUCACCAUCCUCUAUGUCUUUGCUGUCAUUGUGUAGUGUGAGCUCAAAGGCUUCGGCCAAAACCAAAACAUGCUACCUGACAACACUUUUAUCAGUAGUUGCACCUUCAAUUUACAAUGGAGUUGCCUCAUAUUUUUGUUUUUCUCUUGUGUUAUCCCAUUUGAUUGAAAAUUUCAAAUUUUUCCUUUUUACAUAUUUUGUUUCUAUUGUUACCUCUUAAACCUGCUUGGUGUAACAAAAUGUUAUUCAACAAUAUUUUUGCAUAUUCUUUAUUGACACUAUUUGGAUUGGUACUAACAUGUUCGCCACUACAUUUUGAAACAAUAAACAUUCAUGCAUUGUUAUAUUUAAGAUACAAAAGUGUUAACAUAUAAAAUCAUUUGUGUUUUUUUUAUUUAGGUGCUUCAGUUUUUGGAACGUUUGAUUCUUGACAUGGUAUCGAGUUAACCAUGUAGUUUAGAGUUCAAUCCUUAUUGCCUUCAUGGCAAUAUUGGAUAUGUGUGUGCUUAAGCUUAAACUUUUAGAAUAGUUAGUUCAUGACAAAAAGAACACACAUUACCAAACCAGCCUAAUCGUCUGUUCUGGUACGAAUAGAGGAAAAAGGAAAUAACCUUGUUAGUAAAAUCUUGGAGAUUAUUGGAUUAGAUUUGCUACAUUGUCAACUUCCCCUAGACUACAUUCUUUGAGAUUACACUCAUCCUUAUUGAUAAUGCUUUACAACAAUUUUAUACUGCAUUCACUAAUUCAUCUAAGUAGCUUCUUGGGAAAAGAUUUGAUCUACCUCAGCAAAGAACGAACGAAAAUGGAACCAAAAUUUAACAACGUAAUUUAGAUAACUCGUUCACCUCCUUAAAAAUCAUAAAAAAUACAAAUCAGAGAAUGGCUUAAUUUUCAUCAAUGUUUCGGUGCAGAUUGUGUUUGGAGAGUACAAUUGAUUAAGUACAUACAAGUACUUCCCUUAUUGCUAAUUGGACAUUAGUCUUUUUUCUAUUCCGGCACCCAGUUUCUUUUUCCGUGCCGUUAUUGAUGUGUCAGAUUUGAAACAACUUGGUAGAAAUAUCAAACUUCUCAGUAGAGGAUAGUUGUGGCUCCUGCAAAACACAUUUAGAAUCAACUUUCAUGUAAGUCAGUAAUCUAUAAAUAAAUAAACAAUUGAUGAGAGUCUCAGCCAUGUAUAUAACUGAUGCAUACAUGAGUAUUUUGUUUCCAAGUGUUCCGGGCAAAAUCUUGGCCUUUUAGUUCCAACUUUCCUGCUUUAGCCCAUUGGAUUGUAAAGAGCAUGUCAUUGAGCAAGCGACCAUAUGUCAAUUUAGGUACAUCUUGCAUGAUUUGAAGGAAACUGUAAGUCAAGGCCUAAUCAACCAGCAAAAAUCUUUUGUUACAAGUGACAAUUAUGUAUAUUGAUUCUAACUGAUUUAUAUCAACCAUUGAAAUGGAAGGGGAAAAAAGUACGCAUAAUGCAUUACUACAAACCGAUUUUCUUCCUGCCUUUCCAUCACUAUCAUCGCAGGCGGAAAUACAAACCGCUAGCCCUCCUCUCGUGCCUUUGUUGCCAGCUCUCCGGUGUCUGUGAUCUUUCCAUCCAAAAGAAGCAAUCCUGAAUGAACCCAACAUAGGCUAAUGAAUAAGGACAUCUUAUAUCAAAUACAAUGAUUCAUAUCUAACUAACUAACCGGUUCAUCUUGCAUACAAAUGGUAUGUCAAGAAUUGUCCCGCUAAAGGAUGCAUCAACAAGGGCAUGUAGUUUGGCACCAUGAGGUAGAGGCCUAACAAUUGUAGCAUUGAUUUCAUCAUCGAGUAUCAUCCCC
rnacentral:lncRNA from 1 species